GCGCACGCAGGCGGUCUGUCAAGUCGGAUGUGAAAUCCCCGGGCUCAACCUGGGAACUGCAUUCGAAACUGGCAGGCUGGAGUCUUGUAGAGGGGGGUAGAAUUCCAGGUGUAGCGGUGAAAUGCGUAGAGAUCUGGAGGAAUACCGGUGGCGAAGGCGGCCCCCUGGACAAAGACUGACGCUCAGGUGCGAAAGCGUGGGGAGCAAACAGGAUUAGAAACCCUNGUAGUC
rnacentral:rRNA from 1 species